rnacentral:rRNA from 1 species
AGUUAGCGGCGAACGGUCGAGUAACACGUAACCGACCUGCCCCGUGGUCUGGGAUAGCCCUCCGAAAGGGGGAGUAAUACCGGAUGGUUUCACUGAUCCGCAUGGAUGGGUGAAUAAAGCUUUAUGCGCCAUGGGAGGGGGUUGCGGCCUAUCAGCUGGUUGGGGGGUAACGGCCCACCAAGGCGACGACGGGUAGCUGGUCUGAGAGGAUGGUCAGCCGGAUUGGGACUGAGACACGGCCCAA